GUUCACACUGGCCCUGGUGAUUUUAUUACUUUGUUGGCUUCUGUGCAAAGUCUUACCACCCAGGCUCUGCAAGGACCAAGAUAACGGCAAAAAUGAGGCCAGCAGAGAUGACCAUCUUUACAGACUCCCACGGCACCCAGCAUGACCCAUUAAAAAUCAGCUCCAGACCGGGCGGAAGAAAAACCUACUGCCAAAAAGGGAAUAAAACUGUUUCCCACCCCCUGCUUGGCCGUGAAAAUGCUUCCAAAGAAGAGGCAAGAGGUUAGUUGAAAACACAAGGAAUGUGGGCAGCUAAACUGUGCAUCCACCUCUUGCUGCCUUAAUG
ensembl:lncRNA